ensembl:miRNA MIR410 microRNA 410
GGGUACCUGAGGAGAGGUUGUCUGUGAAGAGUUCGCUUUAUUAAUGACGAAUAUAACACAGAUGGCCUGUUUUCAGUACCA